rnacentral:rRNA from 1 species
AGCGAACGCUGGCGGCAGGCUUAACACAUGCAAGUCGAGCGGGCGUAGCAAUACGUCAGCGGCAGACGGGUGAGUAACGCGUGGGAACGUACCUUUUGGUUCGGAACAACACAGGGAGACUUGUGCUAAUACCGGAUAAGCCCUUACGGGGAAAGAUUUAUCGCCGAAAGAUCGGCCCGCGUCUGAUUAGCUAGUUGGUAGGGUAAUGGCCUACCAAGGCGACGAUCAGUAGCCGGUCUGAGAGGAUGAUCAGCCACAUUGGGACUGAGACACGGCCCAAACUCCUACGGGAGGCAGCAGUGGGGAAUAUUGGACAAUGGGGGCAACCCUGAUCCAGCCAUGCCGCGUGAGUGAUGAAGGCCCUAGGGUUGUAAAGCUCUUUUGUGCGGGAAGAUAAUGACGGUACCGCAAGAAUAAGCCCCGGCUAACUUCGUGCCAGCCGCCGCAGUAA